rnacentral:rRNA from 1 species
UGAACGCUGGCGGCGUGCCUACUACAUGCAAGUCGAGCGAACGGACGCGAAGCUUGCUUCUCUGAUGUUAGCGGCGGACGGGUGAGUAACACGUGGAUAACCUACCUAUAAGACUGGGAUAACUUCGGGAAACCGGAGCUAAUACCGGAUAAUAUUUUGAACCGCAUGGUUCAAAAGUGAAAGACGGUCUUGCUGUCACUUAUAGAUGGAUCCGCGCUGCAUUAGCUAGUUGGUAAGGUAACGGCUUACCAAGGCAACGAUGCAUAGCCGACCUGAGAGGGUGAUCGGCCACACUGGAACUGAGACACGGUCCAGACUCCUACGGGAGGCAGCAGUAGGGAAUCUUCCGCAAUGGGCGAAAGCCUGACGGAGCAACGCCGCGUGAGUGAUGAAGGUCUUCGGAUCGUAAAACUCUGUUAUUAGUGAAGAACAUAUGUGUAAGUAACUGUGCACAUCUUGACGGUACCUAAUCAGAAAGCCACGGCUAACUACGUG